rnacentral:rRNA from 1 species
AGUGAACGCUGGCGGUAGGCCUAACACAUGCAAGUCGAACGGCAGCACAGUAAGAGCUUGCUCUUACGGGUGGCGAGUGGCGGACGGGUGAGGAAUACAUCGGAAUCUACUUUUUCGUGGGGGAUAACGUAGGGAAACUUACGCUAAUACCGCAUACGACCUACGGGUGAAAGCAGGGGAUCUUCGGACCUUGCGCGAUUGAAUGAGCCGAUGUCGGAUUAGCUAGUUGGCGGGGUAAAGGCCCACCAAGGCGACGAUCCGUAGCUGGUCUGAGAGGAUGAUCAGCCACACUGGAACUGAGACACGGUCCAGACUCCUACGGGAGGCAGCAGUGGGGAAUAUUGGACAAUGGGCGCAAGCCUGAUCCAGCCAUACCGCAUGGGUGAAGAAGGCCUUCGGGUUGUAAAGCCCUUUUGUUGGGAAAGAAAAGCAGCGGGUUAAUACCCCGCUGUUCUGACGGUACCCAAAGAAUAAGCACCGGCUAACUUCGUG